rnacentral:rRNA from 1 species
GACGAACGCUGGCGGCGUGCUUAACACAUGCAAGUCGAACGGUAAGGCUCCAGCUUGCUGGGGUACACGAGUGGCGAACGGGUGAGUAACACGUGGGUGACCUGCCCUGCACUUCGGGAUAAGCCUGGGAAACUGGGUCUAAUACCGGAUAGGACCGCACCGUGAGGGUGUGGUGGAAAGUUUUUUCGGUGUGGGAUGGGCCCGCGGCCUGUCAGCUUGUUGGUGGGGUAAUGGCCUACCAAGGCGGCGACGGGUAGCCGGCCUGAGAGGGUGGACGGCCACAUUGGGACUGAGACACGGCCCAGACUCCUACGGGAGGCAGCAGUGGGGAAUAUUGCACAAUGGGCGGAAGCCUGAUGCAGCGACGCCGCGUGGGGGAUGACGGCCUUCGGGUUGUAAACUCCUUUCACCAUCGACGAAGGGUUUCUGACGGUAGAUGGAGAAGAAGCACCGGCUAACUACGUG